AGAUCAAAAAGAAUGCAUUGAAUGGAUGCCCGAGCAUUAAGAAGAAAGGAUGCUUUCAGAGGCGAAAGGCCAUGGGGAGAUACCGUCUGUGAUCCAUGGAUCUCUGAUCGAAAAACAGUAUCCAAGCUUCGUGGCUAGUCCACGCUUUUUGGACUUUUCAAACUUAGCGAACUAAAACAUCUUAGUAUCUAAAGGAAGGGAAAUCAACUGAGACCCCAUUAGUUGCGGCGAGCGAGAGCGGAUUGGGGGUAUGAAGAAAAACAAUCACGAAACUUCGUUCCUCAGCAAAGUAUUCACUUUGUUUUUGCCAGGUUUCAUUUGAUUUGUUAUGGAUUGGAUGAUGGAAAAACCAGUAAGCUAUAUCUUCAAAGCUUACCUUAUUUAGAAAAGGAGAAAGUGAUUGUUUAUAGAUGUUGAUGUUGAGUAAGGGGGCGGAGCUUGAAGAGCAAAGCGAGCCGUGCUAUCCUAGCAACAUUUUUCAGCAGCAAGCUAUGGUCUAACGACCCCUAACCUAGGUUGGGGAAAAAACUCCAAAAUCUAAAACAUUGGUUAGGGUUCCUCUCCUUUUAGGCGAGCUACUUCGUUCCAAACCUUUCUCUAAUAAUAAGGUAAGCUUUCAAGCCGUCUCCCUUUAAAGGAGCGGGUACAGUGAACUAUAAUUGUGAAAAGAUUGGAAGAUCUGGCCAAAGAAGGUGAUAGCCCUGUAGAAUCAUUUCGAGAAAGGGGACCACCCUCUAAGCCUAAGUAUUCCUCAAUGACCGAUAAUGUACAAGUACCAUGAGGGAAAGGUAAAAAGAACCCUAUUUAGGGAGUGCAAUAGUGAUAGCCUUUUAGGCUAUGAACACACGAAAUGGACACUAGAUAUGCAAAAAUCAGCAAGCACACAAAAGGAAAAACUACACUUACAAGGGAUAUGAAAAAGAAGAAUUGCAUGAAAUUAAAGAUAGAUAGAGAGACCCUCACUUCCACCAAUGAAUAGCACUAUAAGGUGUAUCAAACCUUUAAACACACAUCACCAAUGUAAGAUCAAACCACUCUAUCAGGUGAUCCAAAGGAAACACUCUUCCUCAAGCACACAUUUCUUGCCAAAUUAUCCAAAACAAGUGAAACCCUAACUUCAAAUGUUCAUGGACCAAUUUUCAGAUUCUAAGCUACAAACUAAGGACUAAAAACUACAAUGAGAAAUACUCAAUCAAUUCAUCCAAUUCUUGGGAAAAUACAAGUUAAGGGUCUAUUUAUACCUAUUACAAAUAAUGACAAAAAUAUCCUUAAUGAAGGGUGCUCUUUUGGAGUGUAAAAAUAGGUCAUUAAAAGACAAGAAUGCCCUUAAUGAACCCCCAAAUAGAGGCGGCCUUUGGAAUGUAUUUCAAAGCACCUCCUCACACUUAAGCAUAUACACUCCAAUAGGUGAACUCAUGAAACAAUCACAAGCUUCCAACUUUGUGGACAUUGCUUGAAGACCAUGUAGCUCUUUGACUUGAUUCCUUGUAAAAGGUCUUGUGCUCUUGGUGCUUCUCAUUCUUGUAUCAUCCUCUCCAUCUUGAACGAAUUUGUCCUCAAAUUCACAUCUAGCAACACCAAAUAGAGAAGAAAACAAGAACACAAUCCUUUUGGUAGGAGGGUUAGCAUUAGUACCACAAAUGAUAUAACCAUGCCAAGGAGGUACACUCCUGGAAUAUAGCCAAUAAUCCUUUGUUAUGAUCAUAAAACACUUACUAAAAGCAUCACAAAGGACUUGGCUAAGAUAAACAUCAAGGAAAGAGGAGUGCAGCAAAAGACCAUCAUAUAUAUCAACAAGCCAAGGUUGUUCACAUUUGAAAUACAUCCACGGGUCCUUUAUGUGUGACAUGAAAAUUUUAGCAUGAAUGGAACAAAGGAGGUGGUUUGUGAAAAUAUCAAAAGAUAAGGAAAAUAAAAUGGUCUUAAUGGCUUCACUAUACCCAAAAGGUAAGACUACCUUUGGCUUAGGAACUAUAAGAUACAUUUGGUUUCAUUAUCUCUACAAAGGACCUCGUCAAAUAUGGUGCCACUAUUGUUCCUAAGGUCCACCUCAUCCAUAUAUCAUCAUCAUUCAAACAAUGAAACCAGACACCAAACUUCCUACCUCUACACAAUACAAAUUCAAAAUUAACAUGCUUAUCACCAUAGCUAAAGAGGUAGUAUAGAAAGAAAUCAAGUGUGAAGACAUCAUGCCGAGGGGGUACACUUUUAAAAUACAACCAGAAAUCCCUUGUUUUAACCAUGAAACAUCUAAUAUGAUCAUUACAAAGGAUAUAGAUAAGACAAACAUCAAGGGAAAAUAAGCACACACCAAAACAAUCCCUUUCCUUCCCACUAGUACACCAGGAUCAAAUGGAUAAAGUGGCCAAGGGAAUAAACCGAGGCUACUCAUUCCAUUUACUAGGGUAUCACACUCACCCAAAGCAUUAUCAAAUAAGGAAGCAUGUACUUCUACACUAGAUGUACCCGAAAUCAUAUCACAAUAUUUUAAACUCAAGGGAGUGUAGAAUGUACCCAAAUUACCUUGGUUUGUACUAGGGCAGCCCAAUAGUAUGUGAAUACUCUUGUCACUUGGUAAUAUGACCUUAUUCAAGUUAUAAGUGCUAGCACUAGAUGGACACAAAUCAUUCUUACGAAAAGAAUUGAUUUUGUCAUCUAAAGGAUCAACUAGUUCUUGCACACUCACAACAAGAGUUUGGUCAUUAUGCAAACUAACAACACCAAGAGUAUCACAAAAGGAAGAUUCAUACACUUAUUCACUAAGACAAUCCAAAACUACACCACUUUUUUCACUACUAGCUACUUCACAACAAUUCAAGUUUCUAGGAGUGUAGGAGAGAGCUUUGUUACCUUGUAAAUCAUGGGAAGUGUUUUCUUCACUUGGUUUCACAUCAUGGCAGCCCUCAUGCCCCAAAUUACAGGGGAAUAGGCCAAGGUUUCCCUUUUGAUUCACUUCUUCAUCGCUUGUUCCCAAAUAGAGACUUUCGGCUAAGGGAUUGAAGGAAACUUCCUUGGGAUUCUCCUUGGGACAUCUAGGGUAUUGAACCUACACAUGAGAAGGUAAAAUACUAGGAAAAAUGCUAGUAUUUGGGUUAGUGAGUAAUAAGGAUUCUUUGUGGACAAGAUCCACAAUCAAGCAUUUUUCUUCCAUCCUAACAUCACUACCCAUGGCUUCUUUUCCUUUUCCCUCUUUUUUUCAUACUCCUUUUAUAUCUCACCCUCAAGUUUCUCUCCAUCUUGAGUCUUGGACUCAUUCUCUUUGGAUUCUAACUUGUGGAGAGGAGGCAUUAGAUUUUGUGAAGUGUAGGAUCUUUGGACUUGUGGUAUUUGUACUUGUGAAGGGUUUGGUGGCAUAGUCUAUCUACCCUCGCUUUUAUUCUAGUCAUGUAACCCUUCAUAGCAUCCGUAUCAUUCCACAAGGAAUCAUGACUAUCUUCCAUUUUUUGGACCAAGGCAUCAUGGUUACUCUUCAUGUCUCGGCCCAAGGCCUCAAUUUGAGCCAUCAAGGCUCCAAUAGCAUCAUUUCCCAAAGAUUGGGAAGUAGUACCCCCAGAUUCCAUGGAAAAAUGCACCUACAAAGUGCAAAAAACAGCAAGCAAAACAACCUACAAAAUGAACAAACGAGUUAGUUCAAAAGCCUCACUUCACUCACACUCAACCUCACCUCACACUUGGUUUCACAAGUGUUGGAGAAUCGGCAAUACUUGGCAAGUUACUCGAGAGGUGAGAAGCUUUGGAUCGGAAUUGAUCUUGGAUUGAUACAACUCAAAUAAAGUGAUGCACGCACUUGAACCAACAAAAUACUAUGAAUUUAAAAAUGAGAAAAGUACACAAAAAUAGAAGACGCAAAAUAAACGAACUCUAAUCUAAUUACCAACCUUGUAGGUACUUACUAGAUUGUUAAUUAGUGAUAGAAUUAGCUUAAAUAAACUAGAAUCAAAAAUUAGAAACUAAGAAAUCUAAGUUUAGAGUCGAAUUUUGGUUGAGCACAAAUGAUGACGAGGCACUUCGUGGUUGGUUGUCACUUUUCAAAAUUUUCAAAUUUUUCCAAAACUUAAUUUUGGCCAAACACUACCCUUUAGGAAUGAUAAUUUCGGAUUUAGGGAUGGAAUAAGGUAAUUUAGGGUUAUUUCAAGUCUCAAAUGAAAAAUGAAUUGAAAUGGUCCCCCCCUAAUAAUUGCACUUGUACUUUGUUUGUCCCCUUGUCCCCUCCUCCUUUUGGAAGAAUGGAAUAUUCUUUGAAUAUGCUUUUGGACAAACAACUUUUUCUCCCUCUUCCUUCCCUCUUUUGGAUCAAACAACACCUUCGAAUAUUCUUCUCAAACAAGGUAUGAUGAAGAUUGAAGAACAAGGUGAAUAUUCAAGAGUUGACCAAAGUUUGACCUUCUAUCAAAUCAACCCCAAAUUUGGAUUUUCUUGUAUAUCUAGGUUCCUUAGGCUAAUACAAACACAACCAACAUAAAAACAGCCACAAAUCACACCUAAAUAACCAUUCCAAAAACGUCCAUAGCUCAAAAGCUUCAAAAUUCCAUAGUCAUGGUGGAUUCUAAGCUCAAUCUCAACCAAACUUCAAUCUAAAAGUAGAUCUAGACUCCCUAGGCGUUAGGGAACAAGAACCUAACACAAGAAACCUUCAAAACAAAGUAAAAACUUGUAGAUCUAAUUUGGAAUUUUCGGAUCUACAAUAAACACACAAGACAACACACAAUUUAUUUUUUUUGAGAUUUUUGGAUUUUUGACUCUUUUUUUAUGAGAUUUUUGAUAUAAUAACACUAAAACCAAGAUUUAGAGAUGUAGGAACACCCCCAAACAAGUCUUUGAUACCAAAUGAUAUCCUAAAGGCUAUGAACACACGAAAUGGACACUCUAUGCAAAAAUUAGCAAGCACACAAAAGGAAAAACUACACUUAGAAGGGAGAUGAAAAAGAAGAAUUGCAUGAAAUUAAAGAUAGAUAGAGAGACCCUCACUUCCACCAAUGAAUAGAACUAGAAGGUGUAUAAAACCUUCAAACACACAUCACCAAUGUAAGAUCAAACCACUCUCUUAGGUGACCCAAAGGAAACACUCUUCCUCAAGCACACCCUUCUUGCCAAAUUAUCUGAAACAAGUGAAACCCUAACUUCAAAUAUUCUUGGACCAAUUUUUAGAUUCUAAGCUACAAACUAAGAACUAAAAACUACAAUGAGAAAUACUCAAUCAAUUCAUCCAAGUCUUGGAAAAAUACAAGCUAAAGGGUCUAUUUAUACUUAUUACAAAUAAUGACAAAAAUACCCUUAAUGAAGGGUGCUCCUUUGGAGUGUAAAAAUAGACAAGAAUGCCCUUAAUGAACCCCCAAAUAGAGGCAGCCUUUGGAGUGUAUUUCAAAGCUCCUCUUCACACUUUAGCAUAUACACUCCAAUAGGUGAACUCAUGAAACAAUCACAAGCUUCCAACUUCGUGAACAUUGCUUGAAGACCGCGUAGCUCUUUGACUUGAUUCCUUGUAAAAGGUCUUGUACUCUAGGUGCUUCUCAUGCUUGUAUCAAAUAGAGAACCUGAUAUUCGAUGCGAACAAUCAGUCAAAGAAGCAGAUCUUGGAGCCUUUACUUUAUAUAAAGUGCACUCACUCUAACGGCUUACCUUUUGCAUGAUGGGUCAGCGAGGAAAUGGGAACAGCAGCUUAAGCUAUUAGGUGUAGGCACUUUCCAGAGGUGGAAUCUUCUAGUUCUUUCUAUUUGACCCAAAACUGAUCGAUCUAUCCAUGAGUAGGUUGAAGAGAGCUCUAACAGGCCUUGAAGGACCGAACCCACGUAUGUGGCAAAAUACGGGGAUAACUUGUGGCUAGGGGUGAAAGGCCAACCAAGAUCGGAUAUAGCUAGUUUUCCGUGAAAUCUAUUUUAGUAGAGCGUAUGAUGUCGAUUGCUCGAGGUAGAGCACUCAAUGGUCUAGGGUGGCCUCAUUUCACCUUACCAACCCUAGGGAAACUCCGAAUACAGGCCUAGAUCGUUUGUAUAAAUAGACUUUUUGGGUGCUAAGAUCCAAAGUCGAUAGGGAAGAUCGUACACUAAGGUCCUUAAGCAAUCACUUAGUGGAAAAAAAAUAAUCGACCGAUGACAACCAGGAGGUGGGCUUAGAACUAGCCAUCCUUUGAAGAAAGCGUAAUAGCUCACUAGUCUAACUCCAUGGUACCAAAAAUGUAUCAGGGCUCAAAUGAUUCACCGAAGUGAUGAGACCUUGAAAGCUACUUUUCAAGUAUCAGUAGCGGAAUGUUCAGUCAAUCGGGGAAGGUUUUUGGUGACAAGACCUGGAGAUAUCAAAAGUGAGAAUGCUGACAUGAGUAAUGAAAAAUCCUGUGAAAAACAUGAUCGAACGCCACUGAAAGGUUUUAUACGUUCAGUCAAUCUACUCAGAGUGAAUCGGUCCCUAAGGAACCCCCAAAAGGGCCUAGUCUGAUGGGUACAUGAAAGUGAUAAAGUUGCUUUAACUACAGAACUAUGCCUGUCUAUUGGAGCGAAUUGGAUGAUCGAGCCGAGGGCUUCCCCCUUUUUUCCUCACUCUCCUUACCCUGAUAUGAACCUUGAGUCAUCAAAGCCUUUUUGACUCGCCUGGCUCGGUCGCCCUAUGCGACUAGCGCUUCAUAAGGCAAAACUCUCGGUCGUAGUUUGGCGUCCUAUCUUUAGUAGGGGCCUUUAGUCUUUUGAUUAGAGUAGGGGUCGCGAGAGAGUAGAGCGAACCGCCCUGCCAUAGUCACGAGUUUAUUUAUAGUCGCGACUAUUGUCAUAGUCAACAAGGUGGAAACUUCCAGGAAAAAACUUCGAAUUAGGAGGAAGAUCCUCCUGAUGAACUGACCGUACCCCAAACCGACAUAGGUGAACAAGUAGAGUAUACUAGGGCACUUGAGAGAACCAUAUCGAAGAAACUUGACAAAAUAACCUCAUAACUUCGGGAUAAAGGGUGCUCUCCUAUUUUUUAAUUAGGAAAGUGGCACAUACCAGGGGGUAGCGACUGUUUAUUUAAAAUGUAGGACUCUGCUAAGUGGUAACAAGGUGUAUAGAGUUUGACACCUACCCGAUGCUGGAAGGUCGGAAGGAGAAGUGUUAUAAGCUUUGAAUGAAAGCCCCGAUAAAUGGCGGUAGUAACUCUAACUAUCCUAAGGUAGCGAAACUCCUUGUUGCAUAAGUAGCGACCUCCACGAAUGAGGUAACGACUGGCCCGCUAUCUCUGAUAUGGACCCGGUGAAAUUAAAUUCUCCGUGAAGAUGCAGAGUACCAACGGCUAGAUGGUAAGACCCCGUGCACCAUAACUAUAGCUUCGCAGUGACAACCUUAAUCUAAUGUGUAGGAUAGGUGGGAGGUGGUGACACACAACGACCAAUCUUGAAAGACCACUCUUUCUUCUAAAGAUGCCUAACCGUUGCACCGAUCAUUCGAGAGGAGGCAAGACACUGCAAAGUAGGUAUUUUAUCUGGGGUAGAUGCCUCCUAAAGGGUAACGGAGGUAUCCAAAGGUAGGCUCAAGCUAAGAUUCUGUUCAUAAGAAUAAUGGUAUAAGCCUACCUGACUGUGAGAUCGACUAGUUGAAUAGAGAUAAAAGUCAGCCAUAGUAAUUUGGGUGUCCCAUGUGGAAGGGCUCUCACUCAAUGGACAAAGGUACACCAGGGAUAACAAGCUGAUAACUCCCAAGAGCUCUUAUCGACGGAGUCAUUUGGCACCUCGUGUCGACUUAUCAUAUCUUGGGGUUGAAGAAGUUCCCAAGGGUUUGGUUGUUCAUCAAUUUAAGUGGUACAUGAGUUGGGUUUAGAACAUUGUGAGACAGUUUGGUUCCUAUCUACCGGUGGUGUUAAAGGGAGAACUACGAGGUGCCAAACCUAGUAUGAGAGAACUGGGUUGGGCUAACCUAUAGUGUACCGGUUGUUAUGCUAAUAGCAUGCCGGGCAGCUAAGUUGCUAUGGAAAAACUAUUGCACCAUGGGAAAUCCUUCUCUAUAUAAGUUCUUGGAUGAGGUUUUUGAACAGAACUUUGAUAGGCGAGAGGUGAAAGCACCGCGAGGUGUGAAGCAAUCUCGUACUAAACGAAAUGAGUUUCACUUUC
rnacentral:ncRNA from 1 species